rnacentral:rRNA from 1 species
UACGUAGGGUGCAAGCGUUGCCCGGAUUUAUUGGGCGUAAAGAGCGUGUAGGCGGCCAGGUAGGUCCGUUGUGAAAACUCGAGGCUCAACCUCGAGACGUCGAUGGAAACCAUCUGGCUAGAGUCCGGAAGAGGAGAGUGGAAUUCCUGGUGUAGCGGUGAAAUGCGCAGAUAUCAGGAGGAACACCGGUGGCGAAGGCGGGUCUCUGGGCCGAUACUGACGCUGAGGAGCGAAAGCGUGGGGAGCGAACAGG